ensembl:snRNA U6 U6 spliceosomal RNA
AUAAGUAAACAUUAAAAAAUUUUUCAUUGGAACGAUACAGAGAAGAUUAGCAUGGCCCCUGUGCAAGGAUGACAUGCAAAUUCGUGAAGUGUUCCAUAUUAAA